CCUACGGGUGGCAGCAGUGGGGAAUAUUGGGCAAUGGAGGAAACUCUGACCCAGCAACGCCGCGUGAAUGAUGAAGGUCUUCGGAUUGUAAAGUUCUUUUCUAAGGGAAGAAGAAAGUGACGGUACCUUAGGAAUAAGCCGCGGCUAACUACGUGCCAGUAGCCGCGGUAAUACGUAGGAGGCGAGCGUUAGCUGGAAUGACUGGGCGGAAAGGGCGCGUAGGUGGUUUGGCAAGUUCGUAGCGUAACUCCAAGGCUCAACCUUGGAACUACUACUAAAACUGUUGGAAUUUAGUGCAGGAGGGGCAACCGAAAUUCCUAGGGGAGCGGUGGAAUGCGUAGAUAUUAGGAGGAACACCAGUGGCGAAGGCGGGUUGCUAGACUGUAACUGACACUGAGGCACGAAAGCGUGGGGAGCAAACAGGAUUAGAUACCCGUGUAGUC
rnacentral:rRNA from 1 species